rnacentral:rRNA from 1 species
GAUGAACGCUAGCGGGAGGCCUAAUACAUGCAAGUCGAACGGUAACAGGGGUAGCAAUACCCGCUGACGAGUGGCGCACGGGUGCGUAACACGUACACAAUCUACCUUAUACUGGAGCAUAACCUUGGGAAACUGAGGCUAAUUCUCCAUAACAUAUUGAAGAGGCAUCUCUUUAAUAUUAAAACUCAGGUGGUAUAAGAUGAGUGUGCGUCUGAUUAGCUAGUUGGUGGGGUAAUGGCUCACCAAGGCAACGAUCAGUAGCUGGUCUGAGAGGAUGAUCAGCCACACGGGCACUGAGACACGGGCCCGACUCCUACGGGAGGCAGCAGUAGGGAAUAUUGGACAAUGGGCGCAAGCCUGAUCCAGCCAUCCCGCGUGAAGGAUUAAGGCCCUCUGGGUUGUAAACUUCUUUUCUUUGGGAAUAAAAACUCCGUUUCUACGGAGCUUGAAGGUACCAGAGGAAUAAGCACCGGCUAACUCCGUGCCAGCAGCCGACGG